UACAGAGGUCUCAAGCGUUGUUCGGAAUCACUGGGCGUAAAGGGUGCGCAGGCCGCGCGGGCAGUCAAAUGUGUAAUUCAGGGGCUCAACCCCUGGACUGCGCUUGAUACUUCCGUGCUAGAACCUUGGAGAGGAGUCUGGAAUUCUCGGUGUAGCAGUGGAAUGCGUGGAUAUCGAGAAGAACACUAACGGCGUAAGCAAGACUCUGGACAAGUGUUGACGCUCAUGCACGAAGGCUAGGGUAGCGAACGGG
rnacentral:rRNA from 1 species